AUGCUUUCUUCAGAAUAGCUUCUUCAAAACUUGACUCCAGCCUAGAUGGAAAAUACAGACUGUACUCCCUCCUGGUGUGAACUACAUUUGAAUUACAGCAGGCUUGCCCCAGGAUGGCAAGCUGCAUGCUUGUGCUCUGCCCUGUGAUGUGGUGGUGAAAGCCCUGGCUGAUGUCAGCAGAGCUAGUUCCAGGACACGUAGAGGGAGAUGCAGUAGCUCUGUCUGCUGUACCUAAGGACUACUCUGAGUUUUCCUGCUGAAUCCCUCACUGAUGCCAUUUGUCUGUCAUAUUUUUCACUGAAACUUCUGAUUCACUCCUGAACUGUUUGCAAGAUUUCACUCUGGUGCUGUGAUGAAGGUGGUAGU